UAUGCAUCGAGAAACAACCAAGAUUAUUGAAUGAAUAACGUCCAUCUUGCAAACGUGUAUAAAAUCUUUCCAAAGGUGUUUGAUAUUGUUUGUUUAUUAGCUAUUUGCAUUUUUGUGCAUUUGAAAGUUAUUAUUUGUUGCGAAUUGUGCUGUCGUGUUUACUUAAUCAAUAUGAGUAAACGAGUAAAGGUCUGCUGUGUACCAGGAUGCACGAAUAAGCAAGCGAUAAGAUAUUCCAUUCCUACGAAUGAAGACGAUUGCAGAAUUUGGUUGCAAAGAAUAAAUAACCCCAAGUGAAUAAUAGCAGAUACAGUAUUAACAACACAUAGAAUACGUGAUAUUCUUUUUGAAUCAAUUUGUAGAAACCCCAAUGGCAGGUUAAAAAAACUUUUACUGCCAACUCUAUAUUUACCUAAAUCUAUUGCAAGGACUAGUUCCUCUAUCAGCACCUUUACUGGUAACAGCCCAAUAGAGGGAACAAAAAAACCUGUUAAGGUGUACACUAGGAAGCGAUUAUUUCAAGCCCUUGUUGAAGAACCUUGUAGCUCCUUGAGUAUCCUGUAUGAACCAUCAAUAUUGACUAAUAUGGCAACAGAUAAACUUGAAGGAAAGGGAAUCAAUUCUUUACACAUAAAAAAACAAAUAUUUUGUUUGGAGGAUUUGACAGACAUUUCCUCAAUAUUUUGUUCAGAUCAUAAGGAUUAUGUAAAUAUGCCUUUAAAUAUUAGUUUUAACAUAUGCAUCUUUCAUUACAUAGGUAUUAUUAAAAAAAUUUUUAAGGGCAAAGAUCAACAAUAUAAAGACUAUGAUGUUGUGAUGAAUAUGGCAUAUGUUAAAUAUAGGGAAAGCUGCAAGAAAGACAACGGUAAUCAUUAAUUAACCAUGGUUAUAAAAUCAGUCUUUUUAUACCAUGUACAAACAGAAACAUUUUUUAAACACGCCAACAUCUCACUGUUGACAGUCCUAAGCCUGCUAAAGUGUGAAAGAAAAUUUUUUGUUUGGGAAUAUAGUUAUAAAAUGUCAAAAACAAAAUAAAAACUAUAAUAAUCA